CCAACUUACCUAUUCCAAGUCCAACAGGAGUACUGUGGCGCAGUUCCUCGUCUUCAUCGUCCAUCUCUUCAAGCCGUACGAAUUCCGCUGCCAGUUCCAGCAGAAGUAGCCUCAGUGAUAGAGAGGCAAAGAAAUUAGCGUUAGUCACAGUUGGCACUGAAAUAGACGAACGUUUAAGCGAAGAUUCUUCUCCCGAGAAGUUAAGCGCUUCAUCCGUGAUUAGCAGCAGUGUAUCUUCACCAUCAACCAGUCACAGCAGUGAGGCUCGAUCUAGGAGGGUGGCAUCAGUUCGAACCAAGUCGACUUCAUCUAGUGAAUUAGUGGUUACUGGAUCAGGACACAGCAGUGUAUCGGGACAUUAAGCAGAGAAAUGAAAUGACUCCCUUCUACAGAAAUAUUCGUAAUGGGAGGCAGUUCAACUGAAAAUGUGCUGGAAUAUUGUGAAUUUUGUUUUAUUCAAUUUACUUUUCCUUCUUUUCAUGUAUACCAAAUUCUAAUUCUAUGUAUUGAAAAAAAAUAAAGUUUAAUAAUUAACGUUA